rnacentral:rRNA from 1 species
CAGUAGCCGCGGUAACACGAAGGGUGCAAGCGUUAAUCGGAAUUACUGGGCGUAAAGCGUGCGUAGGCGGUUUGUUAAGUCUGUUGUGAAAUCCCCGGGCUCAACCUGGGAAUGGCAAUGGAUACUGGCAAGCUAGAGUGUGUCAGAGGAUGGUGGAAUUCCCGGUGUAGCGGUGAAAUGCGUAGAGAUCGGGAGGAACAUCAGUGGCGAAGGCGGCCAUCUGGGACAACACUGACGCUGAGGCACGAAAGCGUGGGGAGCAAACAGGAUUAGAUACCCGAGUAGUCCCUGUCUCUUAUAC